rnacentral:rRNA from 1 species
UGGGGAAUAUUGCACAAUGGGCGCAAGCCUGAUGCAGCCAUGCCGCGUGUAUGAAGAAGGCCUUCGGGUUGUAAAGUACUUUCAGCGGGGAGGAAGGGAGUAAAGUUAAUACCUUUGCUCAUUGACGUUACCCGCAGAAGAAGCACCGGCUAACUCCGUGCCAGCAGCCGCGGUAAUACGGAGGGUGCAAGCGUUAAUCGGAAUUACUGGGCGUAAAGCGCACGCAGGCGGUCUGUCAAGUCGGAUGUGAAAUCCCCGGGCUCAACCUGGGAACUGCAUUCGAAACGGGCAGGCUAGAGUCUUGUAGAGGGGGGUAGAAUUCCAGGUGUAGCGGUGAAAUGCGUAGAGAUCUGGAGGAAUACCGGUGGCGAAGGCGGCCCCCUGGACAAAGACUGACGCUCAGGUGCGAAAGCGUGGGGAGCAAACAGG